CCUACGGGUGGCAGCAGUGAGGAAUAUUGGUCAAUGGGCGAGAGCCUGAACCAGCCAAGUCGCGUGAAGGAUGACGGCCCUACGGGUUGUAAACUUCUUUUGUCAGGGAGCAAUUGGGUCCACGCGUGGGCUUAGCGAGAGUACCUGAAGAAAAAGCAUCGGCUAACUCCGUGCCAGCAGCCGCGGUAAUACGGAGGAUCCGAGCGUUAUCCGGAUUUAUUGGGUUUAAAGGGUGCGUAGGCGGCCUUUUAAGUCAGCGGUGAAAGUCUGUGGCUCAACCAUAGAAUUGCCGUUGAAACUGGGAGGCUUGAGUAUGUUUGAGGCAGGCGGAAUGCGUGGUGUAGCGGUGAAAUGCUUAGAUAUCACGAAGAACUCCGAUUGCGAAGGCAGUUCACUGGACUGCAACUGACACUGAGGCUCGAAAGUGUGGGUAUCAAACAGGAUUAGAUACCCCAGUAGUC
rnacentral:rRNA from 1 species